UGAGCUACAACAUUCGCAGUGGUAGUGCGACUGCCUGCGACGCAGAAGGUUCCGGGUUCGAUUCUCGGUAGAUCAC